ensembl:lncRNA
GUACCUUCUUGCACAUCUCCGUUUCCUGUUUGUGUUGUUAUAAAUCAAACUGUAACUUUAGGAAAAAAUAUUCCAAAAGCACAUUUGUAAUUACUUAUGACCGUUUUCAACUUUUUUUCUUUAGACCAAAUCCCCUGUACACAUAUAGUGACUCAGAGGAUGAGCAGCCCACAAAGAAAUGGUUUCCCCAGGCCCCUCGAGUGAAAAUACCAGACCUGACGAGAGCUGUUAACGAACUCCGUGAGGAGGUCAGAGCCAUCCGCAAUACCGGCUGCAAUGAAUCGGUAGAUGCUGGGGUACUGCCUCUGGAUUUGCCCUUGCACAACAUUGAGGAGCUAAACAAUGCAGAGCCAGCUCUUCAAUCACAAGAGGCAAAUAAGGCAAUGGUGAGACGCUUUGCCUUGAUUGGAGGGACCACACUGGAGGUGCGAGUCCGCCGUGUAAUGGCUUAUGCCAUUACAAACGAGCUGGCCUCGGUACUAAACUGGGCAGGGGAAAAACCAAGGACCAGACAAAGCAAAAAAGGGCAUUUAAAGA